rnacentral:rRNA from 1 species
AACGAACGCUGGCGGCGUGCCUAACACAUGCAAGUCGAACGAGAAAGGGGCUUCGGCUCCGAGUAAAGUGGCGCACGGGUGAGUAACACGUGGGUAACCUGCCUCUAAGAUUGGGAUAACUCGUCGAAAGAUGAGCUAAUACCGAAUAAGACCACAGUUCCCGCGGGAACAGGGGUCAAAGGUAGCCUCUGCUUGCAAGCUAUCACUUAGAGAUGGGCCUGCGCACCAUUAGCUAGUUGGUAGGGUAACGGCCUACCAAGGCAAAGAUGGUUAGCUGGUCUGAGAGGAUGAUCAGCCACACUGGAACUGAGACACGGUCCAGACUCCUACGGGAGGCAGCAGUGGGGAAUAUUGCGCAAUGGGCGAAAGCUUGACGCAGCAACGCCGCGUGAGUGAAGAAGGCCUUCGGGUCGUAAAGCUCUGUCGGGAGGAACGAAUGCUCCUGAGGUUAACAGCCUCGGGAGGUGACGGUACCUUCAAAGGAAGCACCGGCUAACUCUGUG